rnacentral:ncRNA from 1 species
CCCACUGAAUUUAAGCAUAUUAAGUUAACAAAGGAGAAGCAACUUAAGGAUUCCCUCAGUAAUGGCAAGUGAAGAGAGAAGAGCUCAGUGCUAAAUCCUGCCUUAUAAUGGGUGCCAGAAAUGUGGCAUACAGAAGGCUCAUACCCAGGGGACCCAAGUCCCUCUGAUUAAGGCCCAGCUUGUAGGUAGUGUGAGUCUAGUAGCAGUUCCUAGAGUACUGGGCCUGGAUGUUACUGGAAUCAGACUGCCUGAGAAUGUUGCCCAAAGUUGGUAGUAAAUUCCACCUAAGGUGACACACUGGCACAAAAUAGACAGUCAACCAGUACCAUAUGG